GGUGUUGGCAGAAAUGGCUAGAGUGGUAGAGAAUAGAAAUGUAAACCUUUUGGAUAAGAAGCCACGAGCUGUAUAGGAAGUACUCGGAGGGGAAAGAAAAUUCAUCAGUUUUGAGUUGACUAAGGUUUUAUUCAACGAUUCUGUAUCUUGACUCUCUCAAAAUGUUUUUUUUUUAAAUGUAGAAAAUUGGUCGAUCUUCUUUUUAAAUUCUACCCAGCGUUUUACUUAGAUAUAUGCUUUUCUACCUAGUUUCUUGUUAAUAAAUAUUUGGUAUGAGGCCUGGUUGUGGUGGAUCAUGUUUGAGUUUUGCUCUUAAACAUCAGCGUUAUUAUAGGGGAGGUUCACUGGCAGAGAUAGGUUUUUGUGGACCACCCUAAUUACCAGUACGCAUUCUAUUUCUAAAAAGGAGUAUUGGAGCUGCGGGAUUAGAUGGCGUGUCCCUGAAACCCCCACUUUCUCUGUAUUUUGUGGACUGAGAGGAUACUGGAAAAUUGGCUGUAUUCAUAACUGCCGAUCAUUUGGGGGCAGUCUAAAAGAUGUUCUGAGACCCAUGCUUUCAUUUCAAGUUUGUACCAAUCAAUUUGUAAUCCUUUGAUUAAAAACAAAUUGUUCCUUGUUUCCUGUUAAUGCGCGCCUUCAACGAUUGAUUGUUGAGGAUGUUUCUCAUAAAAUUAUAGAGACACAUCAGCCAUCCUGGAAGUGGCAUCUAGUGCACACAUUUGAUUUUAAAACACGAAAAUGAAUGCAGGUGUGUGGAGUUAAAAGCUAAAGUAUUUUCUUCCACCUCUCUAGGAACAAACCCCCACUUUUAAUAAAGUGAAAUCCAUAGUGUUUAUGUGGGUUUACAACAUGACGACCUUUGUUUUAUAAGCUCUUUUAUCCACCCCCUUGCUAAUAUUCCUAAAAUGGAUGCCGAGCCACCAGCAGAGUGAUGGCACAGGAAAGGGGCGCUUACAUGACCAGUCACAGAGUCUGUCACAGAACAUUCACGUCCACACUGCAAACCACAAGGAGUGAAAGGACGGUGCAGUGAAUGAGCUCAGAUCCCUGACCAUCGUAGCUUCGCAGCCACUUAAUACCCGCCUUUGCCAUUACGGACUGCUAAGGAUGUAGUUUAUUUGGUUUCAGACCAUUUCCCCCCUUAGAGUUAAGAGAAUUAUUAGUUGUGUGUCUAUUUCCAAGCUUCUUUGGAGUGAAUUCGGUAAAGGGAUAAACUUGAUCCAAACUGUUGUAUGACCAGUUAUUAUCAAACAAUAAUAAAAGUAAACAAGUUUAAAAAAAAUGAAGAUGAUGUCAGAAUACACUUUUUAAAGAUAUACUAAGUAUUUUUUUUUGUAUUGGUAAAAUUGUGUUUUAUAUUGUAACUGUUUCAGAUUUGGUAAGUAUUAGUCGCUUUACUCAACAAAGUUUCUUACCGAUACAUUCUCUUUGGCCUACUUGCUAUGUAUCUUAAAACAAAGAAAAUGUUUUCUAUUUUUUUUUGUGUUUGCUGUUAACUGGUUAUCAAAAACUCUCCCUCAAAUAAGUUUUUCAUACAACUCUGAUUAAGAAAUUGUAUUGAUUAAAGUUUUUAAAAAAA
rnacentral:lncRNA from 1 species